AGGUGCUGCAUGGCUGUCGUCAGCUCGUGCUGUGAGGUGUCGGGUUAAGUCCCAUAACGAGCGCAACCCCUAUUUCUAGUUGCCAGCACAUAAUGGUGGGGACUCUAGAAAAACUGCCCGCGCAAGCGGUGAGGAAGGUGGGGACGACGUCAAGUCAUCAUGGCCUUUAUGUCCAGGGCUGCACACGUGCUACAAUGCGGCGUACAAAGGGAAGCAAAAUCGCGAGAUCAAGCAAAUCCCAAAAAGCGUCGCUCAGUUCGGAUUGCAGGCUGCAACUCGCCUGCAUGAAGUUGGAAUCGCUAGUAAUCGCAGGUCAGCUAUACUGCGGUGAAUAUGUUCCUGAGCCUUGUACACACCGCCCGUCAAGCCACGAAAGCGGGGGGCGUCCAAAGUCGCUGAGCUAACCCUUCGGGGAGGCAGGCGCCUAAGAUGAACUCCGUGAUUGGGACUAAGUCGUAACAAGGUAGCCGUAGGAACCUGCGGCUGGA
rnacentral:rRNA from 1 species